GUCUGCUUCUUCGAGGACUUGGACAGACACCCAGUCCUUCUGGAGGUGCCAGUCUCCUGUGAUUGGACCUUCCCUCUUUUGGAAAUCCAGUUAUCUUGCUGGCAAAGGUUGCAAGCCUGCAUAAAUGCAUUAGGAGAGAGGUCUCUCUCCUUCUGGCCACAUCACAUCGUCAAAGCACACUGAUUUGUGGGAAAGAUGGCCAGAGUUAGAAUCUUUGGGAGACCUGGGUAGAACUUUCAGUGUGGCCUGGCCUGUGAUUACUCCUGAUACUGAACAGGCUGUGUUCAGCCUCACUGAUUUCCCAUCUUCAGAAUGUGAUCAGGAUACUGCUACUCAAAAAAAUAAAAAUAAAAUGGGAUACUGCUCCUCAUUUGUUGUUAGUACUUUAGAGAAAG
rnacentral:lncRNA from 1 species